GUUGCUACCAUAUUAGAUAGCAUCUUUAUUAUUUUCGUUGCCAGUAUUCCCACGAGCAUUCUGCUGAGAUGAACAAUCAGAUGACCUCGUGUGAGAUUUGGAGGAGAGAAGGAAAUGGAGAGCAUGCGUCUGCCGCUUCUGUGGUUUCUGUCGGCUUUCUCCAUAUUUACGUGCUUGUAACUCUGGCAUGACCUUUGCUCCAGUCUCUACCAGAGGGCGGUGCCUGGAUUGAAGUGGAAAAGCCCUGUUUUCCAGCCAUGACCCAGGGAGCAAGCACUGACUCCUCAGGGGAACAGGAGACCUGCCAACUAGGACCCUGGGAGCCCCCAUGCUGGCAGUGCCCUGGGUCAUCUCAGGCUCAUCAGCAAAUCCUGGGGGGAGAGCGGGGCUGGAGGGCGAAGAAGCCCAGGAGAGUUCCUGGCUCAGAACCCCUCUCUGAGGCUCCCAAUACAGAGCCCAGGCCCCACACCCAGGGCCUCUGAGUAUUUUUGUUUAUUGUAUGUAAAAUACUAGUGUAUUUUUGUUUAAGUCUCACAGGUAAACAGGUUCUCUCAUACUUUGCCAAGGGAAAUGUGAUCUGUGCAAUUUGGCAAUAACUAUCAGAAUUUUAAAAGCUUAUGCCCUUUGACCUAGUAAUUUCACUUCUAAGAAUUUCCCCUGCAGAGAUAUGUAUAUCUUGUAUGAAAUGAAGAGGCUACGAAGACAGGCAACGCCGCAGUGUUUAUAAUAGCGAAGACCAGACACAACCCACAUGUCUAAAGGUUCUGAUUUUUAAAACUGUAGUAUAUCUGUACAAUGAGCACUCCACAUCCUUUAAGAAUGAG
rnacentral:lncRNA from 1 species